rnacentral:rRNA from 1 species
CCCUUAGAUGUCCUGGGCCGCACGCGCGUUACACUGAUGCAUUCAACGAGCUUAUAACCUUGGCCGAGAGGCCUGGGCAAUCUUGUUAACGUGCAUCGUGAUGGGGAUAGAUUAUUGAAAUUAUUAAUCUUGAACGAGGGAUUCCUAGUAAACGCAGAUCAUCAAUCUGCAUUGAUUACGUCCCUGCCCUUUGUACACACCGCCCGUCGCACCUACCGAUUGGAUGGUCCGGUGAAGCCUCGGGAUUGUGGUUCUUGCCGCUUUAUUGUGGCGUGACCGCGAGAACUUGUCUAAACCUUAUCAUCUAGAGGAAGGUGAAGUCGUAACA